ensembl:lncRNA
CAAUGUACCAUGGCAAUCAGUGGGGGAGGCUGAGCACUGCCAGGGGGAAGCUGGAAGUGGGAGUCAGAUAGAACAACAUCAGAUGCCAGUCUUGUCCAGCAGGUACCAGAUCAUAGUCCAGGCCUGGCAAAGAGCAGGCACUCAGAGAGUACUCCUGGAACUGGAUGAAGCAGAGAAAGGCUUCCCCAAGGUGCCCUCAGAUCUAGUUCAAAUGAUCAUACCAAACCACCUCAACAAUCCACAGCUUAGUUUGCUGCACAGUUUACUGUCAUGUAGAAGAAUCUCUGUACCACGAGUGACACGCAGCACUAUACUGUAUUGCUACCCUGUGAGGCAAUUCUAGAAUAACUGACAAAAUUAACCUCAAGGAAAAUAAAGGAUUUAUCUAGGAUGAUUUACAGACUUCAAAAUUAAACGAAAGAGAAUGCAUGGCAACCACCAACAGCCCACCACACACACUCAGCCCCUCUCCUGGAAAGGCUGGGAGGUGUGCGGAUGCUAUGACUGGCACUGUUUAGAGACAAACUGCCCUUGAAUAUAGAUAUACG